AUUGUUUUCCUUCAGAAGUGGUAGGUUGGGGUGCCCUCCCGUCAGUGGGGGAGGAAGGGGGGAGAGAGAGAGAGAGAGAGGAGGGCGGAGAGAGGAGGGAGACGGGGGGAGAAAGAGAGAGGAGAAGAGAAGGGAGGCGGCGAGGGAAGAGCGAGCGCGGGGCUGCUCCGGAGCUAGCAGAACCUCCUAGGACAGCGGCCCCAGCCGGGCCUCAGCAGCUUGCGUGGUCGGAGGAGAAGCAGCUGCCACCGCGGCCGCCAGAGCCCGGCCUCGCGCGCCCCUUGCCGCCGGCUCGCGGGUGCCUGUGCGGCCCCGGGACUCCGCUGCCCGCUCAGCCAGCGGCCGGGAUGCAGCCGGGGCAUGGCCGCCGGCCCCCCGUCACCUGCCGCGGGGAGCGCUGAGCCCGUUGAAAUUCUGUCUGUGAGAACCUAACCUUCUUCCUGUGAUACCUGCUCUUCCCUGGCAACCCUCCUUGCCAAGGACCAUCCAGAAAUAGCCCCUCUGGGGCCUCCCUGUACAGCAAAGCAGACGUCUCCUCCCACUACCAGGUAGGGCGGCCCCACGUGUCCACCGUGCCCAUCCCCAGAGUUUGCAUCUGUGGAGGAAACACGGUCUGAUGCCGAGAUUUUAUUUUACAGAAAGGGUUGUGGCUGGGGGCAUUCUGUGCUGGUCUCCAGUUUUCAGGUCAUGGUGUCUGUGGGGUAGGACGGGGAGUGUUGAUGGUAGUCCAGGAAGGUAUGGGGUAGAGUUUUGAAGGAGUGACCAUUCUUACCCUGAAGCCCAUCAGCCUGGCUGCGGGGC
rnacentral:lncRNA from 1 species